rnacentral:rRNA from 1 species
GACGUAGGGCGCGAGCGUUGUCCGGAUUUAUUGGGCGUAAAGAGCUCGUAGGCGGCUUGUCACGUCGGAUGUGAAAGCCCGGGGCUUAACUCCGGGUCUGCAUUCGAUACGGGCUGGCUAGAGUGUGGUAGGGGAGAUCGGAAUUCCUGGUGUAGCGGUGAAAUGCGCAGAUAUCAGGAGGAACACCGGUGGCGAAGGCGGAUCUCUGGGCCAUUACUGACGCUGAGGAGCGAAAGCGUGGGGAGCGAACAGG